rnacentral:rRNA from 1 species
UACGUAGGCAGCAAGCGUUGUUCGGAGUUACUGGGCGUAAAGCGCGCGCAGGCGGUUCUGUAAGUCCUGGGUGAAAUCGCCCGGCUCAACUGGGCGGGGGCCUGGGGGACUGCGGGACUGGAGGGGCCUAGAGGCCGGUGGAACUCCCGGUGUAGUGGUGAAAUGCGUAGAGAUCGGGAAGAACACCAGUGGCGAAGGCGGCCGGCUGGGGGCGCCCUGACGCUGAGGCGCGAGAGCGUGGGGAGCGAACCGG